GUGGGAGUAGCUCAAUGGUAGAGCAACCCAGCAUGCAUGGGGAGAUGUGGGUUUGAUUCCCCCUUUCUGCA
rnacentral:tRNA from 1 species